rnacentral:rRNA from 1 species
CUCGUAGGCGGUUCGUCGCGUCCGGUGUGAAAGUCCAUCGCUUAACGGUGGAUCCGCGCCGGGUACGGGCGGGCUUGAGUGCGGUAGGGGAGACUGGAAUCCCCGGUGUAACGGUGGAAUGUGUAGAUAUCGGGAAGAACACCAAUGGCGAAGGCAGGUCUCUGGGCCGUUACUGACGCUGAGGAGCGAAAGCGUGGGGAGCGAACA